rnacentral:rRNA from 1 species
GAUGAACGCUAGCGGCAGGCUUAACACAUGCAAGUCGAGGGGUAUUGGUUUUCGGACCAAGAGACCGGCGCACGGGUGCGUAACGCGUAUGCAAUCUACCUUUUACAGAGGAAUAGCCCAGAGAAAUUUGGAUUAAUACCUCAUAGUAUGUGAGAAUGGCAUCAUUUUCACAUUAAAGUCACAACGGUAAAAGAUGAGCAUGCGUCCCAUUAGCUAGUUGGUAAGGUAACGGCUUACCAAGGCAACGAUGGGUAGGGGUCCUGAGAGGGAGAUCCCCCACACUGGUACUGAGACACGGACCAGACUCCUACGGGAGGCAGCAGUGAGGAAUAUUGGACAAUGGGCGCAAGCCUGAUCCAGCCAUGCCGCGUGCAGGAUGACGGUCCUAUGGAUUGUAAACUGCUUUUAUACGAGAAGAAACACUCCUUCGUGAAGGAGCUUGACGGUAUCGUAAGAAUAAGGAUCGGCUAACUCCGUGCCAGCAGCCGCGGUAAUACGGAGGAUCCAAGCGUUAUCCGGAAUCAUUGGGUUUAAAGGGUCCGUAGGCGGGUUUGUAAGUCAGUGGUGAAAUCUCCUCGCUCAACGGGGAAACGGCCAUUGAUACUGCAAGUCUUGAAUUAUUAGGAAGUAACUAGAAUAUGUAGUGUAGCGGUGAAAUGCUUAGAGAUUACAUGGAAUACCAAUUGCGAAGGCAGG